UGUACCCAUCAUUCCUAUAUCCAUUUCCUCAGCCCACACCACACUUCUGUUCUUUGGACCUUACAGUCAACUGCUUCCUGAACAUUUCUACUUAUACCAAGCUGGUACCUCAAUUUAAGGUACCCCAAACUGGACUUAUCAUCAACCCCACAUCACAAACCUGUUUCAAUUGCUGUCCUUCCUAUGUUGGGGACUGGAGCCACCAUCCACUCGACUGAUCAGGUACCAGACCAGCAGAUAAGCCAAAGGGUAACAGAAUGGAGAAAACAGCAUGGUUGACAUCACAUUAACAGCUCCACCAAAGGAAAUCAGGUCAGCAACUCCAGUGCUAUAUAUUAGACUUUGGCAGAGGAACCACCAGUCCGAGGCGAAAUACACAUACAGAAAAUCAUACCAGACCAGAGUGGGAGGGAAGAUGCUUAAUUCCGAAACAAGAAGACUCCCAUGAAGUCAAAAAACAGGACUUUUCAGGACAACUAAAUCAUCCUUUUUCCUACAGCAAAUAAUCUCCAAUACAUUCUGCCCACUGUGAGACCUACCUCUUACUGCAGCUAUGCGAAUCCAGACUUUUGCUACCUCCUCCAAUGACCCAUAACCCUUUCCAUGGCCCCUUGACUGUCAAAGGUAAGGAGCCUGAGAAUGACCUCGUGAUACCACAUCUUCACCAGCUGUGCAAAUUCCACAUCUUCUCUACAAUUCUGAGAGAGGAUAAGCAUCUGAUCCAGGGAGUAGGAACAGUUCCAGCUGGCAGAAAAAAAAACCCAAGAAACCACUGACUCUAUCAACAGUUAAACAAAAUAGGCAGAAUUUUAAUAAUCCAUCAUAAUUCCAUGUGAUAUCAAUUUAACAAAUACCUUUCUAACAAACAGUUAGAAAGCACUGCUUGGUGAUAAUGGGUACAUAAGAGAAACUUAAAACCUGGACCUGAUGAUGUGAAUUCAGCAAACAAGUCCGAAAAGAGUUUUGGAACCACUGGUUAAUAAAGUAAUACAAAAAUGAAGAAAUUAUAUGUUUGGGCGAGGCUACAAAUCCUACACCAGAUAC